UACGAAGGGGGCUAGCGUUGUUCGGAAUCACUGGGCGUAAAGGGCGCGUAGGCGGCGUGUUAAGUCAGCUGUGAAAUCUCCAAGCUUAACUUGGAACGGUCAGCUGAUACUGAUGUGCUAGAGUGCAGAAAGGGCAAUCGGAAUUCUUGGUGUAGCGGUGAAAUGCGUAGAUAUCAAGAGGAACACCUGAGGCGAAGGCGGGUUGCUAGGCUGACACUGACGCUGAGGCGCGAAAGCUAGGGUAGCAAACGGG
rnacentral:rRNA from 1 species